AGGAUAAACGCUGGCGGCGUGCAUGAGACAUGCAAGUCGAACGGACGAUCAGGGCUUGCUCUGAUCGUUAGUGGCGGACGGCUGAGUAACGCGUAGGUGACCUGCCCCGAAGUGGGGAAUAACUGCCCGAAAGGGUGGCUAAUACCGCAUGUGGUGGUGUGUUCAUUCACACCAGUAAAGCCGCAAGGCGCUUCGGGAGGGGCCUGCGUCCGAUUAGCUCGUUGGUGGGGUAACGGCUCACCAAGGCGACGAUCGGUAGGUGGUCUGAGAGGACGAUCACCCAGACUGGGACUGAGACACGGCCCAGACUCCUACGGGAGGCAGCAGUCGGGAAUUUUGCGCAAUGGACGAAAGUCUGACGCAGCAACGCCGCGUGAGGGAUGAAGGCCUUCGGGUUGUAAACCUCUUUAUCAGGGAAGAUAAUGACGGUACCUGAUGAAUAAGUCACGGCUAACUACGCGCCAGUACGCCGCGGU
rnacentral:rRNA from 1 species